GCGGGUGUAGUACAACGGUUAGUAUGAUUGCCUUCCAAGCAGUAGACGACGGUUCGAUUCCGUUCACCCGCUCCA
rnacentral:tRNA from 1 species